CUGAGAGGAUGAUCAGCCACACUGGAACUGAGACACGGUCCAGACUCCUACGGGAGGCAGCAGUGAGGAAUAUUGGACAAUGGGCGAAAGCCUGAUCCAGCCAUGCCGCAUG
rnacentral:rRNA from 1 species